rnacentral:lncRNA from 1 species
AAGCCGAAGCUUUGAUCUUGUGCUCCGAGAUACACAGUCAGCCAGUCGUGUUUGCAUCAUUUGCAUCAUAACAUGUUUAUUUUCAAAAAAUGAUGUAAUGAAAAAAAAAUGGAAAAAAGAAAAGAAAAAGAAAAGCUAAUCUCUUCAUGCAUAUCAUUUCUCAGGUUCAUUCAGGAGUCUAUUCACUGUGAGAGAUGGCA